UUAAAGGCCCUUUUCAGGGCCCCCCAUCUUCUCCUUAAAGAGAGCU
rfam:Monodelphis domestica chromosome 2, whole genome shotgun sequence.